AUUGAACGCUGGCGGCAGGCCUAACACAUGCAAGUCGAGCGGGGUUUUCGGACCUAGCGGCGGACGGGUGAGUAAUGCGUAGGAAGCUGCCCGAUAGAGGGGGAUACCAGUUGGAAACGACUGUUAAUACCGCAUAAUGUCUACGGACCAAAGUGUGGGACCUCCGGGCCACAUGCUAUCGGAUGCGCCUACGUGGGAUUAGCUAGUUGGUGAGGUAAUGGCUCACCAAGGCGACGAUCUCUAGCUGGUUUGAGAGGAUGAUCAGCCACACUGGAACUGAGACACGGUCCAGACUCCUACGGGAGGCAGCAGUGGGGAAUAUUAGACAAUGGGCGCAAGCCUGAUCCAGCCAUGCCGCGUGUGUGAAGAAGGCCUUCGGGUUGUAAAGCACUUUCAGCGAGGAGGAAGGGUGGUGUUUUAAUAGAGCAUCAUUUUGACGUUACUCGCAGAAGAAGCACCGGCUAACUCUGUGCCAGCAGCCGCGGUAACAC
rnacentral:rRNA from 1 species